rnacentral:rRNA from 1 species
UGCAAGUCGAACGGGAUCCCAGGAGCUUGCUCCUGGGUGAGAGUGGCGAACGGGUGAGUAAUGCGUGACCGACCUGCCCCAUACACCGGAAUAGCUCCUGGAAACGGGUGGUAAUGCCGGAUGCUCCAGUUGACCGCAUGGUCCUCUGGGAAAGAUUCAUCGGUAUGGGAUGGGGUCGCGUCCUAUCAGCUUGAUGGCGGGGUAACGGCCCACCAUGGCUUCGACGGGUAGCCGGCCUGAGAGGGCGACCGGCCACAUUGGGACUGAGAUACGGCCCAGACUCCUACGGGAGGCAGCAGUGGGGAAUAUUGCACAAUGGGCGCAAGCCUGAUGCAGCGACGCCGCGUGCGGGAUGACGGCCUUCGGGUUGUAAACCGCUUUUGACUGGGAGCAAGCCCUUCGGGGUGAGUGUACCUUUCGAAUAAGCACCGGCUAACUACGUGCCAGCAGCCGCGGUAAUACGUAGGGUGCAAGCGUUAUCCGGAAUUAUUGGGCGUAAAGGGCUCGUAGGCGGUUCGUCGCGUCCGGUGUGAAAGUCCAUCGCUUAACGGUGGAUCCGCGCCGGGUACGGGCGGGCUUGAGUGCGGUAGGGGAGACUGGAAUUCCCGGUGUAACGGUGGAAUGUGUAGAUAUCGGGAAGAACACCAAUGGCGAAGGCAGGUCUCUGGGCCGUCACUGACGCUGAGGAGCGAAAGCGUGGGGAGCGAACAGGAUUAGAUACCCUGGUAGUCCACGCCGUAAACGGUGGAUGCUGGAUGUGGGGACCAUUCCACGGUCUCCGUGUCGGAGCCAACGCGUUAAGCAUCCCGCCUGGGGAGUACGGCCGCAAGGCUAAAACUCAAAGAAAUUGACGGGGGCCCGCACAAGCGGCGGAGCAUGCGGAUUAAUUCGAUGCAACGCGAAGAACCUUACCUGGG